AAAGUCGUAACAAGGUUUCCGUAGGUGAACCUGCGGAAGGAUCAUUAUUGAAUAAACUUGGUUAGGUUGUUGCUGGCUCUUAGGAGCAUGUGCACGCCUACUCCAUUUUUAACCACCUGUGCACCUUUUGUAGACUUGAACAACUCUCGAGACAGUAAUGUACUCGGUUGGAGAAUUGCUGUGUGCUGUUAGGCCCAGCUUUUCUUGUGUUCACGUCUAUGUCUUCAUAUUACACUCCCAAGAAUGUAUUAGAAUGUAUUAACAGGCCUUUGUGCCUUUAAACACAAAUACAACUUUCAACAACGGAUCUCUUGGCUCUC
rnacentral:misc_RNA from 1 species